GAAGCGAACGCGGUGAACUGAAACAUCUAAGUAACCGCAGGAAAAGAAAUCAACCGAGAUUCCCAAAGUAGUGGCGAGCGAAAUGGGAUGAGCCUUGCACUCUUUAUUUGUAUUGUUAGCCGAACGCUCUGGAAAGUGCGGCCAUAGCAGGUGAUAGCCCUGUAGGCGAAAACAGUAUGAAAGAACUAGGUGUGCGACAAGUAGGGCGGGACACGUGAAAUCCUGUCUGAAGAUGGGGGGACCAUCCUCCAAGGCUAAAUACUCGUGAUCGACCGAUAGUGAACCAGUACCGUGAGGGAAAGGCGAAAAGAACCCCGGGAGGGGAGUGAAAUAGAUCCUGAAACCGCAUGCAUACAAACAGUCGGAGCCUCGAAAGGGGUGACGGCGUACCUUUUGUAUAAUGGGUCAGCGACUUACGUUCAGUAGCAAGCUUAACCGUAUAGGGCAGGCGUAGCGAAAGCGAGUCCGAAUAGGGCGUUCAGUUGCUGGGCGUAGACCCGAAACCAAGUGAUCUAUCCAUGGCCAGGAUGAAGGUGCGGUAACACGUACUGGAGGUCCGAACCCACUAACGUUGAAAAGUUAGGGGAUGAGCUGUGGAUAGGGGUGAAAGGCUAAACAAACUUGGAAAUAGCUGGUUCUCUCCGAAAACUAUUUAGGUAGUGCCUCGUGUCUCACCUUCGGGGGUAGAGCACUGUCAUGGUUGGGGGGUCUAUUGCAGAUUACCCCGCCAUAGCAAACUCCGAAUACCGAAGAGUGCAAUCACGGGAGACAGACAUCGGGUGCUAACGUCCGGUGUCAAGAGGGAAACAACCCAGACCGCCAGCUAAGGUCCCCAAAUAUAGCUAAGUGGGAAACGAAGUGGGAAGGCUAAAACAGUCAGGAGGUUGGCUUAGAAGCAGCCACCCUUUAAAGAAAGCGUAAUAGCUCACUGAUCGAGUCGUCCUGCGCGGAAGAUGUAACGGGGCUAAGCUAUAUACCGAAGCUGCGGAUGCGUGCUU
rnacentral:rRNA from 1 species